rnacentral:SRP_RNA from 1 species
GCCAGGCAUGGUGGCAUGUGCCUGUAGUCCCAGCUACUCGGGAGGCUGAGGCAGGAGGAUCGCUUGAGCCCAGGAGUUCAAGGCUGCAGUGAGCUAUGAUCACGCCACUGCACUCCAGCCUGGGCACCAUAGCGAGACCUCAUCUCUA